rnacentral:rRNA from 1 species
UACAUGGGGUGCAAACGUUGCUCGGAAUUAUUGGGCGUAAGGCGCGCGUAGGCGGUUACUUAAGUUGGAUGUGAAAGCCCUCGGCUUAACUGAGGAAGUGCACCCAAAACUGAGUAGCUAGAGUACGAAAGAGGGUCGCGGAAUUCCCGGUGUAGAGGUGAAAUUCGUAGAUAUCGGGAGGAACACCGGUGGCGAAGGCGGCGACCUGGGUCGAGACUGACGCUGAGGAGCGAAAGCCAGGGGAGCAAACGGG